rnacentral:lncRNA from 1 species
GGGUUUUUUACACCAGGUGUUGAAGACUUGUUCCCAGGGUUACCAACAGACAUCUUUGAAGACAUGCCAUUUGACCCAACUGGCCGUCCUGGUCCAUUACCACCGUUGUUGCCAAGUUGUUUUCUAGAAUCAGCUGAUGUCAUACUAGGUUUACUGGUUGAACUAGUCUUAUAACCAGAUCCUGAUUUAGGAGGCAAACGGCCAGCCNCAGAACCUAGGUUAUGUUCCUCAUGACUUGCACGAGCACGCUUGCUACCAUUGCUUAUUGGAGGCAGUUUACUCCGUGCUGGAACUUGAGCUGGU